rnacentral:rRNA from 1 species
AGUUAACGUUGGCGGCGUGCCUAACACAUGCAAGUCGAACGCGUCCUAAGGGCAACUUUAGGAUGAGUGGCGAACGGGUGAGUAUCACGUGGGUAAUCUUCCUUCAAGUGGGGAAUAAGCUCUCGAAAGGGAGUCUAAUACCGCAUGACAUUCCGGGACACAAGUCCCGUAAUCAAAGCCGCAAGGCGCUUGAAGAUGAGCCUGCGUCCUAUUAGCUAGUUGGUGGGGUAACGGCCUACCAAGGCUUAGAUGGGUAGCCGGCCUGAGAGGGUGAACGGCCACACUGGGACUGAGACACGGCCCAGACUCCUACGGGAGGCAGCAGUGAGGAAUUUUGCGCAAUGGGGGAAACCCUGACGCAGCGACGCCGCGUGGAGGAUGAAGGCCUUCGGGUCGUAAACUCCUGUCAGAGGUGAAGAAUACCCGCAAGGGUUUGACGGUAACCUCAGAGGAAGCCCCGGCUAACUACGUGCCAGCAGCCGCGGUAAGAGUCACGUCG